rnacentral:lncRNA from 1 species
CAAGUAUCGUGAUGACGUCAAAAGAGUCGCCGGAAAACAACCCUGGACUCGUAACUUCGCCGGACAUUCAGCUCAGGUAUAGCAGAGCCUGUUCUCUCUCUUGAAUUCAUUUGUUACAUGGAAUAAUAUUAUAUUCAAGUCUCUUUGUAAUGCAUGAAUUAUGUUUUCCGGUACACAUUUCCUUCAUCUUCUCAAUUUUACCGCUUUGGUCAUAUAUAUGGUGCUGCAUAACAGCUGAUAAACACUUCAUAUUCUUCCAUCCAUUUGACCAUUUUCACCAGAAACUUGAAAAAAAUUCUCUCUUCUAUCUCUGACAAUCUCCAAUAUCCACUCCUAACUACCCUUGCAUCUUCACCACAUCAACCUUUCAAUUCCGUCGUUGCUUUUGAUCUCACUCUUAUAUAAUCACUUUCUUACAAUGAAAUAGGAAAGGUACACGCAAAGAGUCAUAUUAAUUACCUACGUUUUUGAGAGAUGAAUUAUAUUGUGAAUGCAUAUUGUUUUGAAGACAUAAAUGAUAUAUGUGUGUGUAUAUUUGUUCGUAGAUAAAGGAGAGGAAGAGGAGGGAGGGAGGAAUGAAUUAAUCUGAUCAACAUGAAAUAGUACAAGGUCUACUCUUUCCCCAUAAUUUCCAGACGAACUAUUGCAUUUAUGACCGUGUAGUGAUAGCCCUUUGAGAAAUACAUAGUAUUUUACGUAUGAUUUUCUUAAUCGGAAACCAGCAAUGGUGAGCAAUGUGAGUGUUAGGCUGGAUCUCGUUCCAUUAACGUUGACAGAACUGAGUUUGCUGAUUGGUGCAUGUUUUCUUUAACAUUGUUUUUUUUUUCAAAUAUAAUUUAUAAAUUUAAAACUCGAAUCAUUUUCUUAAAUUCAGUCGAACACAUUAAACUUCAAAUAAAGUAGUUCAGGAGAUUUAAACUUUGGCACCGUGAUUAAAGAUUGUGUGUUUGAACUAUUGUUUAAAAUGAGUGGCUGGUUUGUAGUUAAUUAAUCUAAAUUUUCAAUUAAUCAUCCACUAUAAAUUGUGUGUUAGAAAUGUUGAUUUUUAGUUAAUAAUAUGGAAUUAGUAAGCUUAAUUUAGAAAUGGCUAUAGGAUAAUUAAUGGAUUGUGUGUUUCAUGAUAUUUAGCUAUGAAUUUGUUUCUAGGAUGGAAAUUUGUAGUUUGUGUUUAAUGAUUUGAGCACGAAUAUUGAGUUUGUUCUGUAGAUGUUAGUAUUUUUAUUUAUUACAAAUUACAAGUACCUUAUGUUUGCCUUAAAGUUAACGUGUCCUGUAAUUCUAAAUACGAAAUUAAAAUGUUGAUUAGCAGCCGAUGAUGUUUGGGUCGAUACCUCUGAAGCGGGAGCCUGGAUGCUGAUAUAUAUUUUCUCUUAAUUUUGGUGACACAAUUAAUUCCCGGUAAGUGUAUGCAGAGAUGUCAUUUUUGAUAAUGUUGUAUGUCACAAUUGUCUCAAUUUCAAAAGCAGUGACUGGCUGUAGAAAUUGUUAGGUGCCACAUUUCUUCCACUUGUAUAUUAACUGUAACUGUAACUGUAACUGAAUAGAGAGGAGGAUUCUUAUUCUUAUAAAAAUAACAUGGUGC